UGUGAGUUCUGGAUGUCCCUGUAAAUAGUGGAAGUAUUUUUCCAAUCUGGCUGAUGUCCCAAUUGGAGACCAUGCUCCACCAUGGCAAACCUUUCCUUUGCAUACUUCCAAGAAGAUUUGUGUUCUUGGAGUCUGGUCCCAAGGAAACGGCCUGUCUCUCCAAUGUAGGAUACAUUGCAGCUUUUACAUGGGAUCCUAUACACAACGUCCUUUGUGUUCCCUAUCUCCACUUUCUGCUUUGUAAUUGUAUUUCGGACUAUAGUCUUUAAAGAUGGUGCAUUUUUGAAAACAGUGGUUAUUCCGGAAUUUUUAAAAUAUGAGCUAUUUUCUCAGCUCCUGCUCCAUAUGGCAUUAUACAUUUAUUUUUCAAAUCUUUCUUACUAUGAAUGCUAUUAAUUUUAUAAGAAUGUUUAUUAAUAAAUUCCUUCGUAUAUCCAUUCGAUAUUAAUUCUUCCUGGAUAGUGUUCCAUUCUAUAUAUUUGAGUUUAUCAGUGGAGCAAUGUGUGGAGGCACGUUUGGUGAGAGGUUUUACAAGGAAUAUUUUACGGCAGAUAGGACUAAAGGAGUUGGCAUAGAGGUAUACUGGAGAGUGGCGAGGUUUUCUAACAUAUCUAACAUCAUCUUCAAACAAGUGUUUUUAUAAUACCUAGCCACUCACCAGUAUACCUCCAUGCCAACUCCUUUAGUUCUAUCUGCCAUAAAAUUUCCCUAGUAAAACCUCUCACCAAACGUGUCUUCACACAUUGCUCUCUCUCUCCACUGAUAAACUUAAAUAUAUAGAAUUGAACACAUCCAGGAAGAAUUAAUAUCGAAUGGAUAUACGAAGGAAUUUAUCAAUAAACAUUCAUAUAAAAUUAAUAGCAUUCAUACUAAGAAAGAUUUGAAAAAUAAAUGUAUAAUGCCAUAUGGCGCAGGAGCUGAGAAAAUAGCUCAUAUUUAAAAAAAUUCCGGAAUGACCACUGUUUUCAAAAAUGCACCAUCUUUAAAGACUAUAGUCUGAAAUACAAUUACAAAUCAGAAAGUAGAGAUAGGGAACACAAAGGACGUUGUGUAUAGGAUCCCAUGUAAAAGCUGCAAUGUAUCCUACAUUGGAGAGACAGGCCGUUUCCUUGGGACCAGACGCCAAGAACACAUAUCUUCUUGGAAGUAUGCAAAGGAAAGGUUUGCCAUGGUGGAGCAUGGUCUCCAAUCGGGACAUCAGCCAGAUUGGGAAAAUACUUCCACUAUUUACAGGGGCAUCCAGAACUCACACCAGAGGAAGUUCCAGGAGGCCAUAGCAUCAAUGAAGGACCCUGCUAGUGUAAACAGAUAUGAAGAGAUCCCCGAACCUUAUGUGCUUUUUUAACUUAAUUUUUUUUUAUAAUAAUCGCAGUCAACUUCAUUUGUUUCUUAUUUUUGAUUUCUUAUAUUUUGUUUCAAAAACAUUUUAUAAAAUACUGCAUUCUAAAAAGCCUUUAAUUUUCAUAAUAUUUUUAUUGUAUUAUUAUUAUUAAUAAUUUAUUUUUAUGUAUUAUUAUCAAUAAUUGUUUUUGAAUAAUGAAGAAUUUGUUUUCAUGUGAUCUACAAUAAUUUGUAAAUUAAAUUCACUGUGCAAUAAAUUGAUAAAGAGGGAGCAAUCUCUCGAAAUAUUUUGAGAAAAAAUUUGUUUUUUUUUUCUUUACAGAUCCAGGUACGCCCUUUUAUACACUGCGUGACAUUGAAAAUGGAACACCAAGAAAUAGUGGCCAGAAAGUGAUGAAACUCGGCAGACAGAGAGAGACAGGGACGAACAAUAAGUGAUCCUUAUUUCAAAAUGAUAGUCAUAAUACUGACUGACAAUGGUUAUAGCUAAUUGACCAAAUGGGAUGGCCUUCUAGCUCUACUACUGGCUGAAAUGAAUCAGACUGACCGCGGUAAAGGGUGCAGGUAACCUGGGGAGAUACAGCAACAUCGCAAUAUCCCCCGCGACAACACCCAAGGAACCACCAAGCCCGCCACCCAACGCAACGCACGCAGUGGCGGUGCGAAACGCAUCUCCAGCCCCAUCCGCGACGAGACACGCGGCGCCCCCAAGGCGCCCCUGGAGAGUGUGAAGCGUGCUGAUGCUGUAAGAACAUAGGUGAGUAUCCCUGGGUCAGAGGGAAAGAGAGAAAGAGGUUUCAAGUUAAGAAAGGUGAGCAAUUGUGAAAAGGUUGAUUUAAAAAAAAAAGAAAAAAGAAUUACUAAUAAUAAUAAAAUAUAAAAAUAAAAAUGGCAAUAAUUGAAUAAAUAAAUAAGGAGAUAAGUGAGAAUAGUAGAAAGAAGAAGAGAAAAAAAAUUAAAGUAAUAAUAUUAUUAAUAAUAAAAUUAAGUAAGAUUAGAAAAAGAAAGAAUAAAAAUAUUUUAAUAAUAAUAGUAAGAAUAAAAAUAAAAUAAAGAAUUAAAAGAAGGAAAAAAGAUUUAGAAGAGGACAGGAUAGAAAAAAUAGGUAUAUAGAGAAGAGCACACAGCGCCUGGGGAUGUUGGUGUAGAACAAAAAAAAGUACCUUAUCAAAGGAGCCAGAAUUUUUUUUAUUUUUUUUUUAGGAGAAAGUAAUUUCAGAGUACAAAAUCUGGAAGUACUAAAUCGCAUCUUUUGCCAACCAAUGAAAAUGAGCGGCCGCCAGACCACAAAACCCCGGUUGUGACGUCGCGCGAAAAGAGUUUCAACGGGAGCUCUCGAAAGAUACUAGCCAGACUUCUGAUCUCUGAUGAUCCCCUAUUUUUGAAAGCCUUGGGUGCUUUGGAGCUCUAGGUGUGCUUGGCGCUUCCUUGGUUCCCUCGCAGGCGGCGCGCUGUUACCAGAUGCAGCGGGCUGUUUGCAUGUGUUGUCCCUGUGUUCAUAAGAGCCUUAAAAUGCUUACUGACUAGCAUGUAGAAGGCGGAAUAAUUGACACGUGUGACGUCGCACGAUUAAUCGACCAAUCAGCGUGCGGCGUCCAAUUUCAACCGCGGCCCUCUAACCCUUGGGUGAUUAGAGACGGCGCUUGGUGAAAUCCCGUCCACAAGCCAGCUGGCAAAUUAAAAGUUUGACAUCGCAUACAUAAUUAAUGAUACACGCAUAUGCAGGUAAAACACUGAUGUAAAGUUUAGGUGGAAUUAGAGUCGGGAACCUCCUCUGAUUCCACCUCUCGGAUCCGCGGUCUCAGCCUGUCGCAAGCCAGGAGAAAAUCGAUACAGGCUCGCCAGGUUAAACAACUGUGGGUGAAGUCGCGAAGCGCCCUCGGCGUGUAACCGAGUUCCCUCCCCGCUAUAAAAAAAUAGACGAGUUCUGAGGGAGUUCAGACUGUCACACUCGAGCAUGAUAUGUUCCAGAGUUUCUUCCUCUCCAGAGUCACAGAAAGGGCAGAUAGGAUCGUCAAUAAAUCCAUAUCUGUGAGCAAAGCUGUCUGUCCAUGUGUGACCAGUCAGCAGGCCAAUCACGGCGUGGACACUGGGGACGAUGUACGCAUAUUUUUUGUCCAAGAGACUCAUGGGAGAAAGGCCAAAGCGGGUGAAGAUUGUGCGCUCGGCGGAGCUGAACCUGACCUGCCAAGCUGCCCAUGCCCGCUUGUAGAUUGUCGAUUUAAAUUUCGACAGAAUAGAAAUUCGGCAAAGCCAGGGACGAUAUAGGCAGCAAAAGCCCUUGCAUCCCCUGGUUUUUCGCUGAAAAACCACGUCACACAGCCAGAAGGAAUGAUGCAUUCUCCAUGCACCGAGCGGCCUUUGGUAGGCCCCUCGCGCCCGCCAGUAUGGUCCGGCUACAAUGGGGUUGACCACUCACCCACAGGCGUCUCCGAGAGUUCAUUGGCAAGGUUGCUGACCGAGCCCUCCCGUUCGGACUUAGAGCCACCCGUCCUACGCUCCAAUAGGACUCCCCCCCCUUUAGCCCUCGAACCCUUAUCCAGUACUCCCUGAAUCUGCCGUCGAAUCAAGGACCUCUGAGGUACUGAGGUUGACGCGGGGAACGUCGUGAACACGGGGGGGUGGUACUACUGUGUGCACCCCUUGGUUUCUCAUGGUGCGCACGGCAAGGACGCUCCCAAUGGCGCACACACAGAGCGAAGACCCAAGAGUUUCAAGACACGUGCGCCUCGCCUCAGACAACCAAGGACAGACGGCCAGCUUACAGCUUCACUGGACAUCAGUCAGUGGCACCCCGACGGAGGACAACACGCAGAGACGCCUCUCAACUCACUCCCCUCUAGAGUGAUUGUAGAGGGCGGGAAAAACUUCUUCCCCGCUUAAGUUUCGACAGCGGUGCGAGGCGAUAGCAGCUCGGGAGAUCAGAUUCCGCCCCGCGUUUCGCGAGCACAUCAGCUACUUUAUUACCAAAAAUCCCGCUGUGGCCUUUGAUCCAAUGUAUGGUACAUCUGUUCCCAUUGCGGUUCAGUUGUGAAAUCAACAACAAGGCUCUGUUGACCAGGAGGUUGCCAGUUCUGGAGUUUAGAACGGAUUUCACAACUGAGAGGUUAUCCAGGAGAAUUUCAAUGGUGUAAUUGCCGGGAAGCUUUGAAGCGUCCUCAAGUGCCCUAAGCAAGCCAAGUGCCUCCGCUUGGAAGACAGAACAGUACGGGGACAGGACAAAGCUUUCACGCAGUUCAUUCAUGGAGCCAUUCGCACACACUCUAUAUAGGCCUGUGCCAACUCCAGUUUUCGUCUUGGAACCAUCUGUGUAGUAGGUGACGUCAGCCGAAAGAUCAGGAAUAUUAAUCGGAGCGGAGUAAUAGGGAGGAUAGGGAAGCGGGUGAGGGCAGCGGGGAGGCUCGACUGGAAAAUCAGCGUCAACAAAACUGUGCUUUUUAAAAUACAAUUCCGCCUUGGCGCCGACAUCCAGAUCGAGAGGAAGAACACGUGAAAGAGAGAUAAGAGAGCUAUUGGGAGUAUUUUUAAACGUAAGGCAAAUCCUGAUGAGGAACGGGCGCUGCGCGCUUAAGAGAGUAUUUAAGGAGCGUUGUUUAAGAUUAGGAAACCACACAGGAGAAGCGUAAGAGAUGGCUGGGACCACGACCUGUAGAUAGAGCAUCCUCAGGGCACGGAAACCAAAGCCAAAAUUGGAGUUGGCGGCUUCUGUCAAACGCGGGAGAAAUCCGCGGACUCUGGUGCAAACCUCAACCACAUGCUGGUGAAAGGUGAGACGCCGAUCAAACCUUACUCCCAGCACUUUGAUUGAGUCGCUCCAUUGAAUGGGUUGACCAUUAAUGGUUAGAUCGCAGCUAGGUUUUAGUAGCCUGCCAGUACGUCUUAGAAGGAGCAUGGCCUGACACUUCCUCACGCUGAGUUCCAGUUUAUGCAGGCCACACCACCUCGUGAUCUCGUUAAUGGCAAGUUGCGCCGCUCCAAGUUGCUGAGUAACUUGGCCCGACACCACCAUAACAAGAUCGUCGGCAUAGGCCUGCGGGUGUACACAUUUUUUAAAGGCAAGGUUCCAAAGAAACGGCCCAAGAACUGAGCCCUGCGGGGAGCCUUUGGAAACCUGCCUCGUGACCGUGCAACCAUUCAUAGACAGUCUGACAACACGGUUAUUAAGGAAGGAGCAAAUCAGGACAAACAGGUUUUGAGGACAAUCAUUCAUACACAGAGCUCGCAAUAUGCUGGAGUGUAGCACAUUGUCAAAAGCGCCUUUCACAUCAAAGGAAAGAAGAAUAGAAGAUUUUCUAUGUUGAAGCGACCGGGAGAGAUUAUUUUUUUAAAAUUUAGAAGUGCGGCGACAGUAGAUCUGCAGGGCCUGAAACCGAACUGGUUUGGCUGGGCUUUACACAUCCUCUCAGCUCGCCACGAGAGCCUGGCCAGGAUAAGACGCUCUAGAAUUUUACCCAAGCCAGGCAGCAUCGUGAUGGGCCGAUGAGACGCGAUAAAGUCCUCACCACCUUUUUUGGGAAUGAGUAUUACAUCACCCAGUUUCCAAGGGGUUGGAAAAUGUCCAGUUUCGAAGCACCUAUUAAAGAUCUUUAAAAAGAACGUCGGAAAUUUUUUUAAUUAAUUUAACAAUGGCAAGAGGUGGCAUACCAUCACUGCCGGGAGCAGAAGUAAGGCUAAACUUAUCCGCAGCCAGUAGCAGUUCUGUUUCUGAGAACGGUGGGUCGUUAUCAGAGGUGGACUGCACGGCUUUAUGUAAGUUAACAAGCUCUACUGAUGUAUCGGGCGGGACGCGCGGCCGAAGUAGUGCUUUAAAACGUUUUCUAGAGUGUCCCGCGGACUGUCAGUGAGAUCGUCGCCAACCAGGAGAGAGGUAAGAGGCUUCCUCUUGGUGGAACCUUUGAUAAAUUUAUAAACGCCGCCCCAGGGGCUAACCUCGCAAAGCGAACAGAUCUUUCUCCAUUCAGCAAACUUCGCGUGUCUGAUAGAGGUGCGAAAUCUAUUAUAUAAUUUCUUAUAAAAUAUCUUUAACACGCUUCUAACAGGCCCACGAGCUUUUCUCCACGCCCGUUCAGCUUUUUGAGUAGCCUUUUGGAGCGGAUUUAGUUCAGGUUUCCACCAAGUGGGUUUCUUAAAAAAAAAUAUUGGCGGCAGGUUUAGAGGGAAUGGUUUGUAGACACGAGUGAAACACUUCGUCUUUUAGUAAAUUAAUUACUUCAUCAACUUGAGUUGUGUCACUCGCGUCCAGUAAGGAGGAAAUUCUAAAAAUUUUUUUUUUUAAAGCUAGAAAAAAAAAUUCCCAGUCGGCGACCAAAGCUGAAGUGUACUUCGCUAAAUCCUGUUGAAUGACUGACAAGUCCGU